rnacentral:rRNA from 1 species
GUGGGGAAUAUUGGACAAUGGGCGAAAGCCUGAUCCAGCCAUGCCGCGUGUGUGAAGAAGGUCUUCGGAUUGUAAAGCACUUUAAGUUGGGAGGAAGGGUAGUAACCUAAUACGUUGCUACUUUGACGUUACCGACAGAAUAAGCACCGGCUAACUUCGUGCCAGCAGCCGCGGUAAUACGAAGGGUGCAAGCGUUAAUCGGAAUUACUGGGCGUAAAGCGCGCGUAGGUGGUUCAGUAAGUUGGAAGUGAAAUCCCCGGGCUCAACCUGGGAACUGCUUUCAAAACUGGUGAGCUAGAGUACGGUAGAGGGUGGUGGAAUUUCCUGUGUAGCGGUGAAAUGCGUAGAUAUAGGAAGGAACACCAGUGGCGAAGGCGACCACCUGGACUGAUACUGACACUGAGGUGCGAAAGCGUGGGGAGCAAACAGGAUUAGAUACCCCGGUAGUCC